rnacentral:rRNA from 1 species
GGGUGCGGAACACGUGUGCAACCUGCCUUUAUCAGGGGGAUAGCCUUUCGAAAGGAAGAUUAAUACCCCAUAAUAUAAUGAGUAGGCAUCACUUAUUAUUGAAAACUCCGGUGGAUAGAGAUGGGCACGCGCAAGAUUAGAUAGUUGGUAGGGUAACGGCCUACCAAGUCAGUGAUCUUUAGGGGGCCUGAGAGGGUGAUCCCCCACACUGGUACUGAGACACGGACCAGACUCCUACGGGAGGCAGCAGUGAGGAAUAUUGGACAAUGGGUGAGAGCCUGAUCCAGCCAUCCCGCGUGAAGGACGACGGCCCUAUGGGUUGUAAACUUCUUUUGUAUAGGGAUAAACCUUUCCACGUGUGGAAAGCUGAAGGUACUAUACGAAUAAGCACCGGCUAACUCCGUGCCA